UACGGAGGGGGCGAGCGUUAUUCGGAAUCAUUGGGCGUAAAGGGCGCGUAGGCGGCCUAGCAAGUCAGGGGUGAAAUCCCUCGGCUCAACCGAGGAACUGCCUCUGAAACUGCUUGGCUAGAGACCGGGAGAGGGUAGUGGAAUUCCCAGUGUAGCGGUGAAAUGCGUAGAUAUUGGGAGGAACACCAGUGGCGAAGGCGGCUACCUGGACCGGUUCUGACGCUGAGGCGCGAAAGCGUGGGUAGCGAACAGG
rnacentral:rRNA from 1 species